rnacentral:rRNA from 1 species
GUAGGUGGCAAGCGUUGUCCGGGAAUUAUUGGGGCGUAAAGCGCGCGCAGGCGGUUCUUUAAGUCUGAUGUGAAAGCCCACGGGCUCAACCGUGGAGGGUCAUUGGAAACUGGAGAACUUGAGUGCAGAAGAGGAAAGCGGAAUUCCACGUGUAGCGGUGAAAUGCGUAGAGAUGUGGAGGAACACCAGUGGCGAAGGCGGCUUUCUGGUCUGUAACUGACGCUGAGGCGCGAAAGCGUGGGGAGCAAACAGGAUUAGAUACCCUGGUAGUCCACGCCGUAAACGAUGAGUGCUAAGUGUUAGGGGGUUUCCGCCCCUUAGUGCUGCAGCUAACGCAUUAAGCACUCCGCCUGGGGAGUACGGCCGCAAAGGCUG